AACGAACGCUGGCGGCAGGCUUAACACAUGCAAGUCGAGCGCCCCGCAAGGGGAGCGGCAGACGGGUGAGUAACGCGUGGGAAUCUACCCAUCUCUACGGAAUAACGCAUGGAAACGUGUGCUAAUACCGUAUACGUCCUUCGGGAGAAAGAUUUAUCGGAGAUGGAUGAGCCCGCGUUGGAUUAGCUAGUUGGUGGGGUAAAGGCCUACCAAGGCGACGAUCCAUAGCUGGUCUGAGAGGAUGAUCAGCCACACUGGGACUGAGACACGGCCCAGACUCCUACGGGAGGCAGCAGUGGGGAAUAUUGGGCAAUGGGCGCAAGCCUGAUCCAGCCAUGCCGCGUGAGUGAUGAAGGCCCUAGGGUUGUAAAGCUCUUUCACCGGUGAAGAUAAUGACGGUAACCGGAGAAGAAGCCCCGGCUAACUUCGUGCCAGCAGCCGCGGUAAGAC
rnacentral:rRNA from 1 species